GGCACUUUCCUGGCUGUCCCCAGCCCCCCACACCUGCUGUGAUAGGACCUCCAGGCUUGCUCGCUCGCUCUUUUUAUUUUUUAUUUUUUUAUUUUUUAUUUAUUUAUGAUAGUCACAGAGAGAGAGAGAGAGAGAGGCAGAGACAUAGGCAGAGGGAGAAGCAGGCUCCAUGCACCGGGAGCCUGAUGUGGGAUUCGAUCCCGGGUCUCCAGGAUCGCGCCCUGGGCCAAAGGCAGGCGCCAAACCCCUGCGCCACCCAGGGAUCCCUCUUUUUUUUUUUUAUUAAAGCUUUUAUUUAUUCAUGAGAGGCACAGAGACACAGGCAGAGGGAGAAGCAGGCUCCCUGCGGGGAGCCUGAUGCGGGACUCAAUCCCAGGACCCCUGGGUCAUGACCUGAGCCAAAGGCAGAUGCGUAACCGCUGAGCAACCCCCCCAACCAGGCGUCCCCUUCCAGGCUCUCUUAAAAGACCCCAGAGCUGACUCGCGUUGCUCCUGAACAUGGUGACCUCAGUGACAACCUCUCCGUGCCAGGCCCCAGUUCCAGCUCUCUGAGCCAUGCCCGCUGCUGAGCAAGACCCUGCCACCACCGCUGCCUCCAUCACCCACCGCGGACAUGCUGUGCCAAUCCAUGCUGCCCGGGCCCGACACCCCACGCACCAGGGCGCUCUGGGCAGCAACGCUGAGCCAUCCGUCCUGACCGGGGGAGGCUGUGCGUGUUCACAGGAAGACGUUCCUCCCCCGGCGCCCCAGCCCCCGGGGCCCCCCAGAUUCCCCUCUACUCAGCCGGAAGAGCGACUCCAGAAAGUUCCCUGCCAGCGCCUUAGACUGCGAAGCGCGGGUGUCUCUGAGCUGGAAGGAGGGACCGCGCGGAGCGCCCGCAGGAUCGGGAGCCCGUCCCUCCGCUCUCCUUUGCUGGGUCGGAAGAGCCCGAGCGCCCGGGGAGCAGCUGCUGCCGCCCGCUCGUCCCGCUGCGGGGGCUGCCGGGCCAGGCGUCCCUCUCCACAGCAGCCCUCUUAGCAGACGGCAUCUCACUUGAUCUCGAAACCGCCUGUGAGCGAUUAUCCUUAUUUCCUUUUGGAGAUGAGAACACUCGGGCCCCCGGGCCUGUCCGGGCUGUCCUGGCUGUCCUCGCGGCCUCCUGCCUGGGUUCAUACACGUCUCACUCCUUCUCCGAGCGGACCUUCACCUGCGGUUUGUUUCAAGGGUCGGAUCCUGCACAUUUACCAUAAACGGAAAUCACAGAACUGUGGAGCCACUGCCGUGGAUGGCCAGUGGACGCGGCGCGGCUGUCCUCGGCUCAAGGCCUCUGUGGGGCGUAAUCAGGGAGUCAGUCAAGGUUCCUGUCUCAUCUGAGGCUCAGCUCCUCCUCCAAGAUCACUGGGUGGUUGGGAGAAUUGAGGCCCUUGCAGCCGUGGACUGUGGCCCUCAGCUCCUGGAGGCCGCUCGUCUCCGCAGACACUUUACAGCAGGGGCCAGCACGAGAGCGCCUGGCUCGCCUGAUUAAGCCAGGCCCACCCAGGAUAACCUCCCUUCUGAUGACCUGAGACCAACUGAUCAGCCAACUUGAGUUACAUCUGAGCAAUCCCGAACCUUGGCUGAUGGUUAGGUGCCAUCAGACAGCCAAGGUUCGGGAUCCGCAUCCCCUCACCUUUGCUGUAGCCUGGCGGCCAGAAGCAAGUGCUUCUAAUCUCCCGGCUUCCACCCACACUCAAGGAAGGCGAUUAUACAAGGGUGUGGAUGCCAGGAGCUGGAAUCACCAGGGGCCAUCUGAUGACUCUGCUCACUGCAACCAAGUAUAAGAGUCUGCAAAGAUAAAAAAAAAAAAAAAAGAGUCUGCAAAGAUGGGGCAUCUAGGGGGCUCAGCGGUUGAGCGUCUGUCUUCAGCUCAGGUCGUGACCCCAGGGUCCCGGGAUCGAGUCCUGCAUCGGACUCCCCACAGGGAGUCUGCUUCUCCCUCUGCCUGUGUCUCUGCCUCUCUCUCUGGGUCUCUCAUGAAUGAAUCUUUAAAAAAAAUAAGUUUGAAAAGACAAAUAAUAUGAAAGAGAACAAAAAGACAAAACUCAAUAAAUCUAUACUUCUGCCAUUGAAGGGAACCA
rnacentral:lncRNA from 12 species